CGCGCGGGUGCGCGCCAAUCAGUGGCCGCCCGCCUCCGAGCCGGUGGGUCGGCGCGUCGCCCCCUGGCGGCGUGGGGGAGGAAAGGGGGGAAACCCAGAGGUGAAAGAAGAAAUUCCAGCUGCACCUCAAAUCCAGCAGACCAACCACCAGCUUUUCUGAAACAGCCACUGACUUUCUGCAGCCCAUCUUGUCCCAGUUCUGGACACCUGAUUUUUAGCUGUGUUGGGUUCAGGCGGGCCCUGCUCAGUUGAACCAGCAGUGUACGAGUCACUGGUGUCAGGUCCUGGGAAGUAUUUAGCUCUUCAGGGAAAGACAUCUGGGGGGAACCGCCGCAUCUAUCUGCUAGGCAUUCAGAUCUACAGACUGGUUGAGCCAGAAUAACGUGAAGUAGCAGCAUUUGGCAACUUGUCCCGAUUUUGCUCUGUGAGGACAGCUCAUCAUCAAAGCAUUCUUCUGCUGCUAGAUGGCCAAACCUAGGAAGCGAUACGGCCUUCCUCAACCACUGCUUGGGCAAAGCAGCCAUGCUGCAUGGAGGAUCUUCUGCUGUCUUUGGUAGCUUCACCUUGGUUGAGAGUUGAAAUCAUGUUCCCCGCCUUUAUUUUUAGCAUGCCUUUUCCCUUCCCUUUCACUACAAGUUUUCCAAAAUGGAAAAUAAGAUUGGAGUUACAAAACUCAUUAACCAUACAACGAAUAGCCAGGCUGUGAGACCUUGAAGACUCACAAGUCAUUGUUAUAAAGGAACGUGUGUACCAAGCAUGCCCAAACAUUGGCUGAGGAGCCAAACAUAGCCUACUACCAACGGAGCAAAUUUUCCCUCGGCUGUGUGGAGCUGCCUGCAACAUGGAGGAAGCUGAUGCUGAGCUGCAGGAUAUAUGAAAAAUGCAUGCCUGCCUGGUGGGACAGCAGAUCACCAGACUUAGCUGGCAUGUGAUGACAAAGCAGCAUUGCCUGGUGCCACUUAGCCGAGCCAGUGACUUGCACCCACUCAGUGGCCAGGUUGCACUUGCAGCCACAUGUGCUGGUGGUGGAAAUGAAACACUCGUCAAACAUAAAGAGAUCAAAGUGGAGGAGGUGCAGGAGGGGAGGGAGUUUAGGGUGCAUACCAUUUGGCCACAGAAUGGCUGAUGUUGGAGGAAAGUCUGGUGGGCAUCUAGUCCAACCCCUUGCUCAAGCAGGGCCUCUUAGAGCUGGCUGUCCAGAUAGCUUUUGACUAUCACCGAGGUGGGAAAAUCCACAGUCUCUCUGGGCAACCUGUGCCAGUGCUCGGUCACCCUCACAGUAAAAAAGUGUUUCCUGGUGUUCA